rnacentral:rRNA from 1 species
UGGGGAAUUUUGGACAAUGGGCGAAAGCCUGAUCCAGCAAUGCCGCGUGUGUGAAGAAGGCCUUCGGGUUGUAAAGCACUUUUGUCCGGAAAGAAAUCCUUGGCUCUAAUACAGUCGGGGGAUGACGGUACCGGAAGAAUAAGCACCGGCUAACUACGUGCCAGCAGCCGCGGUAAUACGUAGGGUGCAAGCGUUAAUCGGAAUUACUGGGCGUAAAGCGUGCGCAGGCGGUUUUCUAAGACCGAUGUGAAAUCCCCGGGCUCAACCUGGGAACUGCAUUGGUGACUGGCAGGCUAGAGUAUGGCAGAGGGGGGUAGAAUUCCACGUGUAGCAGUGAAAUGCGUAGAGAUGUGGAGGAAUACCGAUGGCGAAGGCAGCCCCCUGGGCCAAUACUGACGCUCAUGCACGAAAGCGUGGGGAGCAAACAGGAUUAGAUACCCUGGUAGUCCACGCCCUAAACGAUGUCAACUAGUUGUUGGGGACUUCAUUUCCUUAGUAACGUAGCUAACGCGUGAAGUUGACCGCCUGGGGAGUACGGUCGCAAGAUUAAAACUCAAAUGAAUUGACGGGGUCAUA